AAUCAACGCUGGCGGCGUGCCUAACACAUGCAAGUCGAACGCGAAAGGGGCUUCGGCCCUGAGUAGAGUGGCGAACGGGUGAGUAACACGUGGGUGAUCUACCUCUGAGUGGGGGAUAACCUUCCGAAAGGAGGGCUAAUACCGCAUGACGUUCUGGGUUUGAAGACCUGGAAACCAAAGUCGGGGACCGCAAGGCCUGACGCUUGGAGAGGAGCCCGCGCCUGAUUAGCUAGUUGGCGGGGCAACGGCCCACCAAGGCGACGAUCAGUAGCCGGCCUGAGAGGGCGGACGGCCACACUGGGACUGAGACACGGCCCAGACUCCUACGGGAGGCAGCAGUGGGGAAUUGUUCGCAAUGGGCGCAAGCCUGACGACGCAACGCCGCGUGGAGGAUGAAGGUCUUCGGAUUGUAAACUCCUGUUGACCGGGACGAACGGGUGCCGACUUAAUACGUCGGCACAGUGACGGUACCGGUUGAGGAAGCCACGGCUAACUCUGUGCCAGCAGCCGCGGUAAUAC
rnacentral:rRNA from 1 species